GAGGGGGGAAGGGGGAUGGUGGACGCAGCCUCCAGUGCUAUGCAGGGUGACAUGGAGUGGGGCCAAUGUUUCCCCGAGCUGAGGGGUUCUGCCAAGGAGAAAGAGCCCUCUGAGAAGACCUAGGGGUUACGCACAGCUCCGCCCCAUUUCCAGGGGCUUGCACUCUGUGCUCAAGAUCAGGGCAGGAAACCCCUCACCCAGGUCUCUCCCCCACCCCUGGUAGUCUCCCCACUACUGCCCAUGGCACCUUGGAGCCUGCGUCUACAACAGACCACCAUUCUCCAUAACUCUGGCAAAGCAGAAGUAUGGGGGCUGACACUGGUGGGGGAUGUGAAGAUCCACGCCCUGGACUGUGCUACCUGCCCCAUCCAUUUCCUCCAGCCUUGGGUCCAGGGCACCACCAGCCCUGAGCACUGGCACAACAGGGAGCUGCUGAUCCACCUGUAGCUGGCCAACUUCAUCUGCCAGGUCAACAAGUGGGCACAGCAGGAGGGCUUGAGCUAGCUCUUGCAGGGGGCUUACAGCACCAGCCUCAGGGGUGAGGAUCUGGUCAGCUUCUUGGUGGGCAAAUGCAUGGCUUGGUGGCAGGACCAGCUAGCACUACAUGUGUGGGACACCCUGAACUGUGACAAGGUUGCAGCCAAUACAGUGGAAAACUUACUCAACCACACCUGCAUCCAGAACCUGCAGACUCUGCUCUGCAAUGGGAAGGAGGUGAUGGAGAGGCAGGGUGAGGCCCCCAAUGCUAAGAGCACCCCGUGGUCACGGUAUAUGCCCAGCAACCCGUUGUCACCCCAGAGCUCCCACUGAUGCCAGUUUACUGGGUCACCGGCUUCUACCCACGGCCCAUCCAAGUGGCCUGGCUGCAGGAUAGCAAGGAGGUGCCUCCAGGCCUGGGCCUCAACUCCAGCGGCCUCCUGCCCAACAUCAACAUGACCUACCAGCUGUGUAGCAUCCUGGCUCUGAAUCUGUCUUCUGGGCACCAUUAUGCCUGCCUCGUGGAGCACAGCAGCCUGGGCAGCCAUGGCUUGGUCAUGCCCUGGGGAGGUAUGAGAACAUCAGCUGUCCUGGGAUGAUGUGACUUGUCUCCAGCUCUUUGGUUGAGGCUCUGCCAGUGAUGUGGAGAUGGGGCGGACAGUCCAUGGCACUCUCCUUUGUCCAUUGGGCAUCUCAUGGGUACAAUAAAAUAGUGGAUGGCUUUCCUUGGCACUGUAUCAUGACCUGGAGCCCCCACAAUCACACAUCAGAGAUGCAGAGACUAGGCCUCACCGGAGACCCAACAAUAAACCCCUGGGAUACAGAGCACCUCUCCGUUUUGUCCCCUUCACCAACACAGAGCAGGACAGGCACACGUACAACCUGUACCACCCCACUUCAGACCCAAGGGAUCUAACCCCAGCCCUGCCCAGGGUCAGAGCUAUGGAAGAAAUGAGGAGGAGUCUGCAUCGAUCCCAAGAGUUUUAUUUUGGGGACCUCAGCUGGAAGGAAACACAGACAUCCUGGCUCCUAGCCC